UACGUAGGGUGCAAGCGUUGUCCGGAAUUAUUGGGCGUAAAGAGCUCGUAGGCGGUUUGUCGCGUCUGCUGUGAAAACUCGGGGCUUAACCCCGGGCCUGCAGUGGGUACGGGCAGACUAGAGUGCGGUAGGGGAGACUGGAAUUCCUGGUGUAGCGGUGAAAUGCGCAGAUAUCGGGAGGAACACCAAUGGCGAAGGCAGCUCGCUGGGACGUUACUGACGCUGAGACGCGAAAGCGUGGGGAGCAAACAGGG
rnacentral:rRNA from 1 species